GGAGUCAACAGGGUCCUGCUACAGAUCCUUCUCCUCCUCCCUGCCACCAGGAGCUACGGUACAACAGGGGGAUCUUCAGGGAGCCAGGCCAACUCACCUCUCCCUCCCUUGUUACUCCCCUUGCUAGACCCCAGCUGACAUGAAUCUGGCAUGAGCAAAGAGGAAACAAUGAGGCUUUAUUGAAGGAGGGAAGCACAGAUUUCAGCCAAGGAGGCAGGCUACAGGCAAGUCUCGCCAUGAUAUUUCCCCGGAGAAGAUGUUGCACCCAACUGUGUAGAAGCAUCAGGGAUAGUGCUGUCGAAACAUACCAAGGACCUUCAACACCAGUCAAUGAAGAUGAAGGGCCAGAUCUUAAGACCUUCCGCAUGCAUGCGCAUUGCAUUGUGUGGCAUUAAACAAUUUCAGCAUUGCUUACAUACUAUAUACAUAUAUUAAUUAUAUAUGUAUAUAUUGAGGUUUGGCUGCAAUACUUUACUGAAGUGUGUUAUGAGGGUCCAGGGAGGAUAUGCAUGAAAUGGUCAGAUUGUGCAACAGAAAGUUUCCCUACAAUCUCUUUGGGCAAAUGCGUGGUACCUCACAUAGAGAACAGGCAUUUUGUGGUUUUGCUCACGCCAGCAAUUCUUAGGGGUAUGCAGGCUAUACAAUCAAAAUUAUUUGAAUUGUGCAGUAAAUGACUCAUGCUGUUAAGAUAUGUCUGACAUACAGUAGAUUUAUUUGGCUGACACUUAUUUGCAAGAAUGAUAACUUCUCCAUGAGUAUUCCUAGAUAUUAAAUUAUUCUUAUUCUGGGCUAAAUCUGUGAGAGACUUAGCUACUCACCGAAAAACAAAAUUAAGUCUUUUUUUCCUCUAGCAAAAAGAGGUAUGUGGUAAGAAAUUACAUUCAGCUUCUGUGAAAACCGACCAGAUUAUUGUUUGGGUUUUUUAAAUAUCUAAAUAACACAAGGGAAUCUGAUGUGCACACCUAUAAAUCAUUAUACCAGUGUGAUUUUUCAGGUAUGAUGGCUAAAAUGCCAAUUACUGCAUAUGCCACCAAAGAGUUUACAGUUGGCUUAGCAAAAAAGGUGGGGCAUAGCAAGCAACAGGAUACUCCAGGGCAAAUACUAAGGCUCGGGGCCUGACCCCGUAAGCGGCUCAGAGCUCUCAACUCUCAAUGAAAAAUGUACAGCACUCAACACUUUGCAGGAACAGGUUCCUGAUUUCUAGAACUAGCAUCCUAUUUUACAAGUGCAGUUGCCUGCAGGUGCAACAGAUUUCAGGCACAAGUACUACUGUCCAGAGCUCCGACUACCUGAUUGGAUUUUUAAAAAGUGCUCAGAGUUUAAUUGAAGCAGAGUUAGGUCAAAGUUAAGCACUUUUGAAAAUCCUGGCCUUAAAUACUAGCAUUUACUUCUGCAAUUAAUUGUGAAUGCAAAACAUCCCCCACAAAAUUGGAAACUGAGUUAAGGACAUUUUGAAAAACAAACAAAAACACCGUAAAGGCAUUUGUGGCCUCCCAGUGAAUUGAUUGAGAGCACUACUUGCAUUUUAGCACAGAAUUUGGUGCUAUUUUUUUUAGCACAAUGAUAAUGUGCCUGAAUUCUAAAUUUGCAGUAUGACUUAUAAAAUUUAUUUCUGGAUAGAUUUAA